rnacentral:rRNA from 1 species
GAUGAACGCUAGCUACAGGCUUAACACAUGCAAGUCGAGGGGCAGCAUGCAGGUAGCUUGCUAUCUGUGAUGGCGACCGGCGACGGGUGAGUAACGCGUGAGUAACCUGCCUCUGAGAGGGGAAUAACGUUCUGAAAAGAACGCUAAUACCGCAUAACGUAUCGAAGCCGCAUGACUUUGAUACCAAAGAUUUAUCGCUCGGAGAUGGACUCGCGUCCGAUUAGUUAGUUGGCGGGGUAACGGCCCACCAAGACCGCGAUCGGUAGCCGGACUGAGAGGUUGAACGGCCACAUUGGGACUGAGACACGGCCCAGACUCC